UUCUUUGCAAUUCUCAAGACUUCUUUCAAUGUGGAUUCCACCUUAGCAUUUAAUAUACGUUCCUCCAACACCCCUUUCAAAUUUGUUGCCGCUUCAAUGUCAGAAAGUAGCUUAUAAGCAAUUGAUUUGCCCUUAUCUUUUGUCUCGUUUGUUUUUUCUCCCAAUGAUACUGAGGUAUCCUUUACAGAUAAUUCUUGUGAAGCUGCCUCCCAAGCCUUGUCUCCUCGAGUUUGCCUCUUAGAAGAAUUUCCUUCUCUCGUAUCAUCAAAAUUUCCUCGUUUCUUUUCUUCCAUCAAAGCUUCAUGUUGGCUCUUAGCAAUAUAUGCAUGAACUGAAAGAGACUCAACAGGAUCCUUCCAACCUGUUCUACCUCAUAUUGUAGCUGCAGUCCUCAAUAACGCUUCUCGAGGUAAUUUCCCUUCUUGCAUUGUAGAAACGGCAGAAGCCCAAAACUCACUAGUUUCCGUACUUCCACCAAUUUCAUCAUCUACUCUAGCACCAUAACUUGCACUUUCUCGUGCUACUGUUUCAUGCUCUUUUAGGUAAUCUUGAACCAAUGCUCUCAUUCCUCCCUUGCCAAAAUUGGUUUGAAGAAGAUCCUCCCUAUCUUUUAAUGCUAUCUUUUCAUCUUUCCAGCAAAUAAUUCCCUGCCGUAUCAUAUUAUUAAAUUCAUUGCAAUCUUUUCUAGUGUGUGAAGCAUCAUCACACCAAAUGCAUCUUUGUACAUAUCCUUGUUUUGAAACAUUCUUCAAAUUUUUUGUAGAAGUAUUCUCUUCGAGUCUUGCCAAUUUGAUUUAAAGAUCUCGCAUUCCUCCUA
rnacentral:lncRNA from 1 species